GGGGGAGAGAUUAGUUUAUAAUGGUCUGCAAAAUCAUUCUAUAGGGAUACUCUCUCC
rnacentral:tRNA from 1 species